rfam:Callithrix jacchus chromosome 1, whole genome shotgun sequence
GCCAGGCACAGUGGCCCAUGUCUGUGUUCUCAGCUACCCCAGAGGUUGAGGCAGAAGGAUCAUGUGAGUCCAGUUCUGGGCUGUAGUGCAUUGUGUGCAUUGGGUGUCUGUGCUAAAUUCAACAUCAACAUGGUGACUUCCUGGGAGCCGGGAACGAUCAGAUUGCCUAAAGAGUGGUGAACCAACCCAGGACAGAAAUUGAGCAGGUCAAAAUUCGUGCUGAUCAGUAGUUGAAUAGUGCCUAUGGAUAGCCACUGCACUCAAGCCUGAACUAUAUAGCAAGACCACGUCUCUA